AUACGUCUGUUGAUUGGGAAAAACUUAUUGCUGAUAACUUGAGGGGAAAAAGCGGCACUGGAAGUGAUGAUGGGUAGUAAAGAUGGGUUUUUGACUAAGAGGUUGAAGAGCUAUGCAAAUGAUAAGAACAAUCCAUUAAAACCUAAGGGCCUCUCUGGCCUCUCCCCAUAUUUAAUCCGUUUGAAUCUGUUUAGAGGACCGUAGUUAGCUCCUGUUUCAAAUUGUAUCGUUACGUCAAUCCGUUUGUUUGUUCAUUUUGUGUGAUUCCUUGAGUAUGAUAUGUUUUGCAUAAUUUUUUAAGGCAGCUGAGGUGUUCCUUGAGGAGUUGAUUGUUA